rnacentral:rRNA from 1 species
GAUGAACGCUGGCGGCGUGCCUAAUACAUGCAAGUCGAGCGAACAGACGAGGCGCUUGCUCCUCUGACGUUAGCGGCGGGCGGGUGAGUAACACGUGUAUAACCUACCUAUAAGACUGAGAUAACUUCGGGAAACCGGAUCUAAUACCGGAUAAUAUAUUGAACCGCAUGGUUCAAUAGUGAAAGACGGUUUUGCUGUCCCUAAUAGAUGGAUCCGCGCCGCAUUAGCUAGUUGGUAAGGUAACGGCCUACCAAGGCAACGAUGCGUAGCCGACCUGAGAGGGUGAUCGGUCACACUGGAACUGAGACACGGUCCAGACUCCUACGGGAGGCAGCAGUAGGGAAUCUUCCGCAAUGGGCGAUAGCCUGACGGAGCAACGCCGCGUGUGUGAUGAAGGUCUUCGGAUCGUAAAGCUCUGUUAUUAGGGAAGAACAAAUGUGUAAGUAACCAUGCACGUCUUGACGGUACCUAAUCAGAAAGCCACGGCUAACUACGUG